rnacentral:rRNA from 1 species
GAUUAACGCUGGCGGCGUGCAUAACACAUGCAAGUCGAACGAUGAAACUUUACUGACUUCUUCGGAAUGAUUUAAAGCGGAUUAGUGGCGAACGGGGGAGUAACGCGUGAGUAACCUGCCUUACACAAGGGGAUAGCCUCUGGAUACGGAGAAUAAUACACUAUGAAACCAGACAAUCGCAUGAUAAUCUGGUCAAAAUGUUUAGUGGUGUAAGAUGGACUUGAGUAUGAUUAGCUAGUUGGAGAGAUAACAGCUCACCAAGGCAACGAACAGUAGCUGGCACUAGAGAACGGACGGCACCACUGGGACUGGGACAAGGCCCGGAUUCCGAACGAAGGGAGCAGUGGGGAAUUAGGAACACCGCGUGAAAGCCGGAGGCAGCGGGGCUGCGUGAUUUAGAAGUCCGUAGGGUAGUAAAAAUCGUUUGUAUCGGAAGAAAAUGACAGUACUAUACGAAUAAGGACCGGCUAAUUACGUG